rnacentral:rRNA from 1 species
AACGCGAAGAACCUUACCAAGGUUUGACAUCCUGAGAAGGUCUCUGAAAGGAGACUGUGCCUUCGGGAACUCAGUGACAGGUGUUGCAUGGCCGUCGUCAGCUCGUGUCGUGAGAUGUUUGGUUAAGUCCAUCAACGAGCGCAACCCUUUUAGUUAGUUGCUUUUUCUAGCUAGACUGCCCUGGUAACAGGGAGGAAGGAGGGGACGAUGUCAGGUCAGUAUUACCCUUACACCUUGGGCUACAAACACGCUACAAUGGCCGGUACAAAGGGCUGCCAAGUCGCGAGACGGAGCAAAUCCCAUCAAAGCCGGUCUCAGUUCGGAUUGUAGGCUGAAACCCGCCUACAUGAAGCUGGAAUCGCUAGUAACGGUAGGUCAGCAUUACUACCGUGAAUACGUUCCCGGGCCUUGUACACACCGCUCGCGA